AGACUCCUACGGGAGGCAGCAGUAGGGAAUCUUCCGCAAUGGGCGAAAGCCUGACGGAGCAACGCCGCGUGAGUGAUGAAGGUCUUCGGAUCGUAAAACUCUGUUAUUAGGGAAGAACAUAUGUGUAAGUAACUGUGCACAUCUUGACGGUACCUAAUCAGAAAGCCACGGCUAACUACGUGCCAGCAGCCGCGGUAAUACGUAGGUGGCAAGCGUUAUCCGUAAUUAUUGGGCGUAAAGCGCGCGUAGGCGGUUUUUUAAGUCUGAUGUGAAAGCCCACGGCUCAACCGUGGAGGGUCAUUGGAAACUGGAAAACUUGAGUGCAGAAGAGGAAAGUGGAAUUCCAUGUGUAGCGGUGAAAUGCGCAGAGAUAUGGAGGAACACCAGUGGCGAAGGCGACUUUCUGGUCUGUAACUGACGCUGAUGUGCGAAAGCGUGGGGAUCAAACAGGAUUAGAUACCCUGGUAGUCCACGCCGUAAACGAUGAGUGCUAAGUGUUAGGGGGUUUCCGCCCCUUAGUGCUGCAGCUAACGCAUUAAGCACUCCGCCUGGGGAGUACGACCGCAAGGUUGAAACUCAAAGGAAUUGACGGGGACCCGCACAAGCGGUGGAGCAUGUGGUUUUUUUCGAAGCUACGCGAAGAACCUUACCAAAUCUUGACAUCCUUUGACAACUCUAGAGAUAGAGCCUUCCCCUUCGGGGGACAAAGUGACAGGUGGUGCAUGGUUGUCGUCAGCUC
rnacentral:rRNA from 1 species